CCUACGUGCGGCAGCAGUGGGGAAUAUUGCGCAAUGGGCGAAAGCCUGACGCAGCGACGCCGCGUGAGGGAUGAAGGUCUUCGGAUCGUAAACCUCUGUCAGCAGGGAAGAACGGUCACUGUGCUAAUCAGCAGUGAAUUGACGGUACCUGCAAAGGAAGCACCGGCUAACUCCGUGCCAGCAGCCGCGGUAAUACGGAGGGUGCGAGCGUUAAUCGGAAUUACUGGGCGUAAAGCGCUCGUAGGCGGUAUGUCAAGUCAAGGGUGAAAUCCCCGCGCUCAACGUGGGAACUGCCUUUGAAACUGGCAAACUGGAGUGUGUGAGAGGAUAGUGGAAUUCUAGGUGUAGGAGUGAAAUCCGUAGAUAUCUGGAGGAACAUCAGUGGCGAAGGCGACUAUCUGGCACAUAACUGACGCUGAGGAGCGAAAGCGUGGGUAGCAAACAGGAUUAGAUACCCCGGUAGUC
rnacentral:rRNA from 1 species